GAUAUCAAGACGGGUACCCUCCCCAAGGACA
rnacentral:tRNA from 1 species